UCGAGGGGCAGCGGGAUUGAAGCUUGCUUCAAUUGCCGGCGACCGGCGCACGGGUGAGUAACGCGUAUCCAACCUGCCGAUGACUCGGGGAUAGCCUUUCGAAAGAAAGAUUAAUACCCGAUGGCAUAGUUCUUCCGCAUGGUAGAACUAUUAAAGAAUUUCGGUCAUCGAUGGGGAUGCGUUCCAUUAGAUAGUAGGCGGGGUAACGGCCCACCAAGCCGACGAUAUCUAGGGGUUCUGAGAGGAAGGUCCCCACACUGGUACUGAGACACGGUCCAUACUCC
rnacentral:rRNA from 1 species